rnacentral:rRNA from 1 species
AGAAUGAACGCUGGCGGCAUGCCUAAGACAUGCAAGUCGCACGAGAAAGUAGCAAUAUGAGUACAGUGGCGCACGGGUGAAUAAUACUUGGAUAAUGUGCCCUUUCGCGGGGAAUAACUAGGCGAAAGCUUAGCUAAUACCGCAUGACCCGACGUUGGCUGUGGCCAAUUUCGGUAAAGCCGUAAGGCGCGAUUGGAGUAGUCCGAGUCCCAUUAGCUAGUUGGUGAGGUAAUGGCUCACCAAGGCUUUGAUGGGUAGCUGGUUUGAGAGAGCGAUCAGCCGCACUGGAACUGAGACACGGUCCAGACUCCUACGGGAGGCAGCAGUUAGGAAUCUUGCGCAAUGGGAGAAAUCCUGACGCAGCGAUGCCGCGUGAGGGACGAAGGCCUUCGGGUUGUAAACCUCUUUUAGUUGGGAAGAUACAAGACGGUACCAACAGAAAAGCACCGGCUAACUCUGUGCCAGCAGCCGC